AAGACCUUGCGCUUUUGGAGCGGCCGAUGCCUGAUUAGCUUGUUGGUAAGGUAAAAGCUUACCAAGGCUUCGAUCAGUAGCUGGUCUGAGAGGACGACCAGCCACACUGGGACUGAGACACGGCCCAGACUCCUACGGGAGGCAGCAGUGGGGAAUUUUGGACAGUGGGGGCAACCCUGAUCCAGCCAUGCCGCGUGAGUGAAGAAGGCCUUCGGGUUGUAAAGCUCUUUCAGCCGGAACGAAACGGUUACGGAUAACACCCGUGACUACUGACGGUACCGGAAGAAGAAGCACCGGCUAACUACGUGCCAGCAGCCGCGGUAAUACGUAGGGUGCGAGCGCUAAUCGGAAUUACUGGGCGUAAAGCGUGCGCAGGUGGUUUUGUAAGUCAGAUGUGAAAGCCCCGGGCUCAACCUGGGAACU
rnacentral:rRNA from 1 species